rnacentral:lncRNA from 1 species
AUUUUAUUUUUAUCUUAUUUUUUUAAGAGGCGGGGUUUUGCGGUGUUGCCCAGGCUGGUCUCGAAUUCCUGAGUUCCAGCAAUCCUCCCUCCUCGGCCUCCCAAAGUGCUGAGAUGAUAGGAGUCAGCCACCAUGCCUGGCAGAUUUCUGCCUGUAUUAAGCAGUUAUUGAGUACCUAGUGUAUACCAGACCUCCUCUAGGAGGUGAGGAUGCAGCAGUGACCGAGACCCACCCUGUGGUGCUGACAUUCUAUGGGGUCGAGACUCCAGUGGGACAUGGCUGUGCCUGGGGGUCUUCACCUUUAAGCGGGAGCGUUCUUAGCGGCAAAGGUCAGGUCAUAAAGUGAAGCUCCACAGCCGGUGGUGGGGCUCACAGUGGUGAGCCUGGCCCUGCUUUUAUUUUUUAGAGAUAGGGUCUCGCUCUGUCACCCAGGCUGGAGUGCAGUGGUGCGAUCUCGGCUCACUGCAGCCUUACCUCCUUGGUUCAAGCAAGUCUCCUGCCUCAGCCUCCCGAGUAACUGGGAUUGCAGGUGCCUGUCACCUCGCCUGGCUAAGUUUUGUUUUGUUUUGUUUUUGGUAAAGAUGGGGUUUUAUCGUAUUGCCCAGGCUGGUCUCAAACUCCUGAGCUCAAGUAAUCUGUCCACUUCGGCCUCCCAAAGUGCUGGGAUUACAGGUGUGAGCUGCCGCGCCCGGCUGUCCAUCUAUAUUGCUGAAUGCCUGGGCAGAAGACACUCUGGUCUCCACGGCCGUCACGUCAGCGCAGGUGAUCUGAUGCCUCGGCCUCCCAAUGUGCCGCCCUCAGUCAGAGAGCACUGAGACAGAGCCUGGAAAACCCAGCUCCGUGGGCAUUAAAGGGAUAACUGCCUGGGCGGCUGGAGUGUGGAACUUCAUUCCCGAGGACGCUGUCCCCGUCCUGGUGGCUGACGGACAGGGUGCGGAGAGGGUCAGCACCUCAGCCUCACGACACGGGUACCGAGGGGAUCCAGUGACAAUGGGGCAGCUGGGGAAGGUCUUCCCAGAGGAGCAUACAAGCCGUCUACCAGCAGGUGUCUGGACAGCUGAAGCCCAAGCUGGUGGGAGGUGAGCAGGGAAGACAUGGGAUUGUCUGGGCUCAGCUCUGCCUUGAGAGGCUGCGGGGCACUGGGGAGCCAUAGAUGGCGUUUGAGCUGGGGCAGGCCGGCAUAUUUAUCUGGUGAAAGAGUGGAGUGGGGAGAGGAGGUGGGGAGACCCGGGAGGUGACACGGCUCAGGGUUGGGGUGAGGGCCACAAGGCCUGAGUUGAAGUCAUGGCUGGGGAGAGUGAAGGGGUC